rnacentral:rRNA from 1 species
CGGGUGCGUAACGCGUAUGCAACCUACCUAUCACAGGGGGAUAGCCUUUGGAAACAGGGAUUAAUACCGCAUAAUACUAUUUGGUGGCAUUAUUAGAUAGUUAAAGAUUUAUCGGUGAUAGAUGGGCAUGCGUCUGAUUAGUUAGAUGGUGAGGUAACGGCUCACCAUGACGAUGAUCAGUAGGGGGCGUCAGAGCGUGGUCCCCCACACUGGCACUGAGAUACGGGCCAGACUCCUACGGGAGGCAGCAGUAGGGAAUAUUGGGCAAUGGAUGCAAGUCUGACCCAGCCAUGCCGCGUGCAGGAAGAAGGUCCUCUGGAUUGUAAACUGCUUUUUUCGGGGAAGAAGAGAUAGGAUGCGUCCUAUUGUGACGGUACCCGAUGAAUAAGCCACGGCUAACUACGUGCCAGCAGCCGCGGUAAUACGUAGGUGGCAAGCGUUGUCCGGAUUUAUUGGGUUUAAAGGGUGCGUAGGUGGUUUAAUAAGUCAGUGGUGAAAGCUGGUUGCUCAACAAUCAAGUUGCCAUUGAUACUGUUAGACUUGAGAGAAGUGGAGGUUCAUGGAAUGGAUAGUGUAGCGGUGAAAUGCAUAGAUAUUAUCCAGAACGUCAAUUGCGAAGGCAGUGGGCUGUACUUUUUCUGACACUGAGGCACGAAAGCGUGGGAUCAAACAGGAUUAGAUACCCUGGUAGUCCACGCUGUAAACGAUGCGAACUAGCUUUUUGAUUUAG